GAAAUGCGAUAAGUAGUGUGAAUUGCAGAAUUCAGUGAAUCAUCGAAUCUUUGAACGCACAUUGCGCCCCUUGGUAUUCCUUGGGGCAUGCCUGUUCGAGCGUCAUUUGUACCCUCAAGCUCUGCUUGGUGUUGGGUGUUUGUCCCCGUCUCCGCGCGUGGACUCGCCCCAAAGUGAUUGGCAGCCGGCGUACUGGUCCCGGAGCGCAGCACAUGUCGCGCAAACGAGUGCCUUGGUACGGCGGCGUCCAUAAGCCCCUCUCUCACGCUCUUGACCUCGGAUCAGGUAGGGAUACCCGCUGAACUUAAGC
rnacentral:misc_RNA from 1 species